UACGUAGGGUCCGAGCGUUGUCCGGAAUUACUGGGCGUAAAGAGCUCGUAGGUGGUUUGUCGCGUUGUUCGUGAAAACUCACAGCUUAACUGUGGGCGUGCGGGCGGAUACGGGCAGACUGGAGUACUGCAGGGGAGACUGGGAAUUCCUGGUGUAGGCGGUGGAAUGACGCAGAGUAUCAGGAGGAACACCGGUGGCGAAGGCGGGUCUCUGGGCCGUAACUGACGCUGGAGGAGCGAAAGCGUGGGGAGCGAACAGG
rnacentral:rRNA from 1 species